UCUUCCUUUCCUACUUCCCCCUCAACCAAGAGUUGGGAGAGUGGGAAGAAGGCGCCAAGUGCACGCUGCUGGCGGUUGCAGCCCCCCAGAGGCCUGAGAUCGACCACAGGACGGCCCUGCCUGGACCACGUCCACUUGAAAAUCCUGACAGAGCUGAGUCUUGUGUGUGCCUAGGCCCUGCCACAGGGACCUGGUCGGCCUGCCUGUUGAGGCGAGGUUGUGGAUGUCCCCGGACCCUAGUGGUCCCUGCUUCGGAUGAUGUAGGGCAGCAUCCACCUGAAUGCACAUCACUACCAAGGCCAAGGUUUUGGAAGGAAGCCCUUCUCCUCUCCCAUCUCAAUAUUAGACCAUGGGACCCUGGGCCACGGGGCUCAGGCCGCCGACCCUGGAGCCCUGACCAGUGAACACAGCUGCCUGUCCUUUACCCUUGUGUCCAUCCAGGAGCGGCCAUCUGCCAGGGACCUGGUCGGCCUGCCUGUUGAGGCGAGGUUGUGGAUGUCCCCGGACCCUAGUGGUCCCUGCUUCGGAUGAUGUAGGGCAGCAUCCACCUGAACGCACAUCACUACCAAGGCCAAGGUUUUGGAAGGAAGCCCUUCUCCUCUCCCAUCUCAAUAUUAGACCAUGGGACCAUGGGCCACGGGGCUCAGGCCGCCGACCCUGGAGCCCUGACCAGUGAACACAGCUGCCUGUCCUUUACCCUUGUGUCCAUCCAGGAGCGGCCUUCUGCCAGGUGGGAAGCCCGUGCUGGGCCUAGGGUCCCAUUGAGUCGGGUAGUCUCCUCCCUUGUUUUCACACCUCCGCGUGUGCUCUCACUUCUGGGACACCACCAACCCACUGCCCUAGCAGGACCGGGGUCAGCAUGGGAGGCCACAUGGAUACCCAGGGUCUGUGGCACAACCUGUGGACUUGUUGUCCAAGCCUCCAGAGCCAUGCUGAUCUGAGUAGCCUAUGCUACCACCUAGGGCCUAGGUGUCAUCCGGGCCCAAGUAGCUGCUGAGGGCCAUGUCUAGGUCGGUGUCCCUAUGGCAGCCAUGGUCUGAGUUGAUAGCCAGGGCUCCUGUUACCACCAAGGGGCAUGAAGGUGCCUGAGGUCUGGUCUGCCACCUGAGAACAUGCUGGUGUCCCACAGCCAUGCUGCUGCUCUGGUUGGCCUGUGCCAUCACCUGGGGCCGUGGUAUGUCAGGGCCCAAGCUUCAGUCUAGGGCCAUCUCUGGGUCCAUGGCCCCACAGCAGCCAGGGUUUAAGUUGAUGUCCAUGGCAUCUGUUGCAACCAAGGGACAUGCAGAUGCCCAGGGUCUGGUUAGCCACCUCAGACUAUGCUGGUGUCUGAGAGUCAUGCUACUUGAUGCUGGGGCUGAACUGCUCUGAGUGACAUGAGCUGAGACACGGGACAUGGUAACAUCUGGGCCUGAGAUGCUCUGGAGGACCACCUCUGGAUCUGUGGUCCUGCUGUAACUGGAGUCUGUGUUGACAUCUGUGGGCCAUGUAACCAUAGGAGGUCAUGUAUGAUGAAAUCCAAGGGCAGUGCUGAGCCACACCUGCCCUGUGUUGGCCCUAGGAAAGCUGGCCCUGCUCCUCACUAGACACUGCAGCUAGAGUGCUGACCUUGACCCUCACAGGAGAGCUGGCCCCAAUGACUCUGGCAUGGAGAGCUGGCCCCCUAUACUUAGGAGAGUUGGCCCCACCUCUCAACACAGGCAUGAGAGAGAUGACCCUGAUGCCAUGGGCAUAGGAGAGCUGGUUCCACCUCCACCUGAGGGGGCAGCCUUAGUAUCAAGGACUGACCAACUCAACUACCACCCAGGUCCAUAUCCAGGGCCUUGGAUUGGCCCACCCUAACAUCAACCCCAUCUAGGACCUGCUGGCGCAUGUGAAGGGACUGGUUCUGCAGAUCUCCAUGACUAGGGGCAGCCAUGGGAUAUCAGAGAGGAGUUUCUGUGAGGAUUCAGUGAUGAUGGUGUACCACAAACCAGAGUCCUUGAACCAGACCAAUGACUCAUUGCAAUUUUCAUUUUCGGAUGGGGCUGAUUGAACAAAGGGUAUCCUGCAGGACACACCGGGGAUCCCAAUGCCACUCAAAUGAAUGAAGAGAUGUUGAAGAGGCGGGAGAGACAAAAGAGAGAAGUGGGCUUUUUUGUUUGCGUGGUUGGUUGGUUAGUUGGUUGGUUGGUUUAGUUUGGUAUUUUUUUUAUUUUAUUAUAGUGGAGGGCUGCUGCAAGGGUGAAGGGAGGAUAGGGAGGACUGGGAAAGGAG